GGGUCUUGUGGUCUAGUGGUAUGAUUCUCGCUUAGGGUACACCCUACAGCAAUGUUUGCGAGAGGUCCCCGAUUCGAUCUCGGGCAAGACCC
rnacentral:tRNA from 1 species